AACGAACGCUGGCGGCAUGCCUAACACAUGCAAGUCGAACGAGACCUUCGGGUCUAUUGGCGCACGUGUGCGUAACGCGUGGGAACCUGCCCUUAGGUUCGGAAUAACUCCCCGAAAGGGGUGCUAAUACCGGAUAAUGUCUUCGGACCAAAGAUUUAUCGCCUUUGGAUGGGCCCGCGUUGGAUUCGCUAGUUGGUAGGGUAAAAGCCUACCAAGGCGACGAUCCAUAGCUGGUCUGAGAGGAUGAUCAGCCACACUGGGACUGAGACACGGCCCAGACUCCUACGGGAGGCAGCAGUGGGGAAUAUUGGACAAUGGGCGAAAGCCUGAUCCAGCAAUGCCGGGUGAGUGAUGAAGGCCUUAGGGUUGUAAAGCUCUUUUACCCGGGAUGAUAAUGACAGUACCGGGAGAAUAAGCUCCGGCUAACUACGUG
rnacentral:rRNA from 1 species